rnacentral:rRNA from 1 species
GAUGAACGCUGGCGGCGUGCCUAAUACAUGCAAGUCGAGCGAACAGACGAGGAGCUUGCUCCUCUGACGUUAGCGGCGGACGGGUGAGUAACACGUGGAUAACCUACCUAUAAGACUGGGAUAACUUCGGGAAACCGGAGCUAAUACCGGAUAAUAUAUUGAACCGCAUGGUUCAAUAGUGAAAGACGGUUUUGCUGUCACUUAUAGAUGGAUCCGCGCCGCAUUAGCUAGUUGGUAAGGUAACGGCUUACCAAGGCAACGAUGCGUAGCCGACCUGAGUGGGUGAUCGGCCACACUGGAACUGAGACACGGUCCAGACUCCUACGGGAGGCAGCAGUAGGGAAUCUUCCGCAAUGGGCGAAAGCCUGACGGAGCAACGCCGCGUGAGUGAUGAAGGUCUUCGGAUCGUAAAACUCUGUUAUUAGGGAAGAACAAAUGUGUAAGUAACUAUGCACGUCUUGACGGUACCUAAUCAGAAAGCCACGGCUAACUACGUG